UUUUGUUUUAAGUCAAAAUUUAAUAUUCAAGUUUUAAAAAGCCUUUAAAGUUUAACAUUUCAAUAAUCAUAGUAAGUUGAAAUAUUAGAUCAUAGAGUUAGCACACUAUACUUAAUAAUAGCUAAAUAAGAUACAGUCAGGAAGUUAAUCUAUAACAAACAUGAGACAUUGAAAAAGAGGUGCAACAGGAGAGGCCGUGCGUGCUAAUGUCGCUAGCAGCUAGCUCUGCAUUGCCACUAGGAUCUCAGUACUUCUGGCAUUUGGGAUCAGUUAGAGGGAUGACCUGAAGUUCCCCUUGUUGAGUGUACAUCUUUCUCUCAGUGGAGAGUGCCUACUCAGUCAUGAAUUAUCUCACGAGGUACAUUUUAACAUUCAAUCAAUAGAAUAAAAUGUAAAAUUACUCAUCUUUCUUAAACCAUUUGAGUUUAUAGGUCCGGGAUAAUCUUGCCAGUAAAAUCUUCACCUGCUGUAGUAUAAUGAUGAAGCAUGAUUUCAAAGUCACCAUCUAUCUCCUUCCACAUAUCCUAGUAUAUGUCUUGUUGGGUUGUAGUCAAGAAGAUCAGCAAGAGGUUUAUGCAGAAAUUAUGGCAGUACUUAAGCAUGAUGAUCAGCAUGCCAUCAGUACCCAGGACAGUGCAUCGGAUCUGUGCCAGUUGAGUACACAGACUGUGUUCUCUAUGCUUGACCAUCUCACCCAAUGGGCAAGGCACAAAUUUCAGGCAUUGAAUGCUGAGAAACUUGCACAAAACAAACCAAAAGGAGUAUCAAGUGUGAAUUUUGAAGACUAUCAGAGUGUAACUCGUUUUCUAGACCUCAUACCUCAGGAUACUCUGGCUGUAGCCUCCUUUCGUUCCAAAGCAUACACACGAGCCGUAAUGCACUUUGAGUCAUUUAUUACAGAAAAGAAGCAAAAUAUUCAAAAGCAUCUUGGAUUUCUACAGAAAUUGUAUGCUGCUAUGCAUGAACCAGAUGGA
rnacentral:lncRNA from 1 species